rnacentral:rRNA from 1 species
GAUGAACGCUGGCGGCGUGCUUAACACGUGCAAGUCGAACGGUGAAGGCGGAGCUUGCUCUGCUGGAUCAGUGGCGAACGGGUGAGUAACACGUGAGCAAUCUGCCCCUGACUCUGGGAUAAGCGCUGGAAACGGCGUCUAAUACUGGAUACGAGCUGCGAAGGCAUCUUCAGCAGCUGGAAAGAAUUUCGGUCAGGGAUGAGCUCGCGGCCUAUCAGCUUGUUGGUGAGGUAAUGGCUCACCAAGGCGUCGACGGGUAGCCGGCCUGAGAGGGUGACCGGCCACACUGGGACUGAGACACGGCCCAGACUCCUACGGGAGGCAGCAGUGGGGAAUAUUGCACAAUGGGCGAAAGCCUGAUGCAGCAACGCCGCGUGAGGGACGACGGCCUUCGGGUUGUAAACCUCUUUUAGCAGGGAAGAAGCGAAAGUGACGGUACCUGCAGAAAAAGCGCCGGCUAACUACGUG